GUUCCUGGCUCAGGAUGAACGCUAGCGGCAGGCUUAACACAUGCAAGUCGAGGGGCAGCAUAAUGGAUAGCAAUAUCUAUGGUGGCGACCGGCGCACGGGUGCGUAACGCGUAUGCAACCUACCUUUAACAGGGGGAUAACACUGAGAAAUUGGUACUAAUACCCCAUAACAUCAUGAGAGGCAUCUUUUAUGGUUGAAAAUUCCGAUGGUUAGAGAUGGGCAUGCGUUGUAUUAG
rnacentral:rRNA from 1 species